rnacentral:rRNA from 1 species
AUUGAACGCUGGCGGCGUGCUUAACACAUGCAAGUCGUGCGGUAACAGGCGUAGCAAUACGUGCUGACGAGCGGCGAACGGGUGCGUAAUACAUGGGAAUCUGCCCUUUAGUGGGGAAUAACCCGGCGAAAGCCGGGCUAAUGCCGCAUAAGAUCUUCGGAUGAAAGCGGGGGACCGUAAGGCCUCGCGCUGAUGGAUGAGCCCAUGUCGGAUUAGCUAGUUGGGAGGUAACGGCUCACCAAGGCGACGAUCCGUAGCUGGUCUGAGAGGACGGCCAGCCACACUGGGACUGAGACACGGCCCAGACUCCUACGGGAGGCAGCAGUGGGGAAUAUUGGACAAUGGGCGAAAGCCUGAUCCAGCGACGCCGCGUGUGUGAAGAAGG